GGCCUGGUGGUCUAGUAGUAUGAUUCCUUCUUAGGGCUUUACGAGCAAUAGUGGAGGAGGUCCCGGGUUCAAUUCCCGGCCAGGCCC